rnacentral:rRNA from 2 species
UUUAUCGGAGAGUUUGAUCCUGGCUCAGGACGAACGCUGGCGGCGUGCCUAAUACAUGCAAGUCGAGCGGACAGAUGGGAGCUUGCUCCCUGAUGUUAGCGGCGGACGGGUGAGUAACACGUGGGUAACCUGCCUGUAAGACUGGGAUAACUCCGGGAAACCGGGGCUAAUACCGGAUGGUUGUUUGAACCGCAUGGUUCAGACAUAAAAGGUGGCUUCGGCUACCACUUACAGAUGGACCCGCGGCGCAUUAGCUAGUUGGUGAGGUAACGGCUCACCAAGGCGACGAUGCGUAGCCGACCUGAGAGGGUGAUCGGCCACACUGGGACUGAGACACGGCCCAGACUCCUACGGGAGGCAGCAGUAGGGAAUCUUCCGCAAUGGACGAAAGUCUGACGGAGCAACGCCGCGUGAGUGAUGAAGGUUUUCGGAUCGUAAAGCUCUGUUGUUAGGGAAGAACAAGUGCCGUUCAAAUAGGGCGGCACCUUGACGGUACCUAACCAGAAAGCCACGGCUAACUACGUGCCAGCAGCCGCGGUAAUACGUAGGUGGCAAGCGUUGUCCGGAAUUAUUGGGCGUAAAGG